AAGAGGUCUAAGAAGGGAAAGUUUGAUUGGACUAAUUCAAGGGGUGAGGUUGAAGACUUAGGAAGUUAGAAACUGGAGAAGCUAAAGAAUAUGGCUGGUGAAGAAGGUACAGGUUGGUUAGGAAUGGGUCUAGAUUUAAGAGUGCCCUAGAAAGACUACUAAAGUCCCGUGGGGGGAUUUCCAGAAGCAGUUUUUAGGUGUUCCACGUAAAAACAACCCAGAGUGAAGAAGAAUCAAGGUUUUUUCUCAACAGGUCUUAGAAGGUACCCUGUUCUAGCAAACGAAUUUUAAAAAUUACAAUGAAAUAACCUCCAUGAAGUCAUUAUUGUAGUCACAAUUGGCUAGUCUUGUCAUUUCUUCCGAAUGUGAAACGAAGUCAGCUUCUUAAAAUGGGUAUUAGUUUAUCGACACAACUUAAUUGAGUUGGUGUAUCCGGCCUCCGAUUUUUAUUGAAACUGUGCUUGGAUCUGCCAACAUGAUUUCACCGGGUGUUCGUACAGGUUGGCUUUGGCUGAUCAGGAGCCAAAGGAACAAAGAUGCAGGGCUCAAACCCACAAACUGUGAGACCAUGACCUGAGCUGAAGUCAGAUGCUUAUUGGACUGAGUCACCUAGGCGCCCCAAGAGGAGAGCAUUUUUAUGGAGAUUUUGCUUAUUUUAAAUUUGUUUUAAUUAAUAAUCAUAAUAAUACUGUUGUUCCUGAACUAUAUUUCUAAGUCUUUGCCGUGGGACAGCUGUGAUGAAAUAUUCCACAUAUACUUCAAACCUAAAAUGUUCAAAAUUGGACUUCAUGUUGGUCUGCAACUCCACUACUUCUUUUUUCAUUUUUAUUCUCUCAGUUAAUGGUGCUAAAGGGCAUCAGAAUAUGCCACGCCAAAAUAUGGCACUUCAGCAUGACCGUUAUUUUCAGCUGAGGACAAUUGAGAAUCAACAGCUUCAGGAAGAAUUCUCUAGAACUCCCCUUAUCUGCUUAAAAGCAGUGCAUGAAUUUCCCUUUGUGAAGGUUUCUGCCCCCACCCCCAACUCCUGUAUCAGGAAGAAGAGAGGGACUCUUAUCACUGGUGAUAGUCAACACCCAGAAGCGUUUGCAUAAACAGAUCAACCACAACAACCCUUAUCUUCUAUCAGUUUCCCCAUGUAUUUCCAAGUCACUUCCCCACACUGUGUCAUCCCUUGAAGCCCAAGCCCCUUCCCCUUUGUUACAAUGAUGCACAAACCUUGAGUCUAACUGCUUCUUUGUGUCUUACUUCUUUUUGGUGAAUUCCUGUGCAUGUAAAUAUUAAUAAAAAUAGUGUGUCUUUUCUCCUGGUAA